UGGUAAGGUUUAGUAGGUUGUAGAAGGACAUUGUUAUCCAUUACUGAGGCUCGCGACCAGUUAUGCUGUGUUUGGAGUAUUGUAAUCUACAACAGGAGACGGACAUUUGUGAGUGUAAAAGAGAGAGGAUCGGGGAAACUCCUUUGGACCACACAGAGAGCGAUCUUCCAUCCUGCUGGUGUGAUGUAGACUGUCGCUGCUGUUUUCUGUUCUGCUGAUCUU